rnacentral:rRNA from 1 species
GUAGGUGGGCAAGCGUUGUCCGGAAUUAUUGGGCGUAAAGCGCGCGCAGGGCGGUCCUUUAAGUCUGAUGUGAAAGCCCACGGCCCAACCGUGGAGGGUCAUUGGAAACUGGGGGACUUGAGUACAGAAGAGGAAAGCGGAAUUCCAAGUGUAGCGGUGAAAUGCGUAGAGAUUUGGAGGAACACCAGUGGCGAAGGCGGCUUUCUGGUCUGUAACUGACGCUGAGGCGCGAAAGCGUGGGGAGCAAACAGGAUUAGAUACCCUGGUAGUCCACGCCGUAAACGAUGAGUGCUAAGUGUUAGGGGGUUUCCGCCCCUUAGUGCUGCAGCUAACGCAUUAAGCACUCCGCCUGGGGAGUACGGCCGCAAAGGCUG